CUCGCGCCAACGACCAGACCUUCGCUACUCGCACUACUUUCAACGCUCAGUUCUUCCGCGCUGCUGUGUUUUGGUGUAGAGGAGGGAGCACACGAUCUCGAUGAGGGGGGACAGCACAGCGUCGCUCGGCCUCACGGCAAGGGCCUCCGAAACUCACUCAUGUGCUGAGGGGCGAAACCAGACGGGUACGCAAGUGACACAGCUGUCGCACGCACAUAGCAGGCCCUCUUUUCCUCGGCGUCACCACCGCUGUGCCAUGCUCGUCAGCUGCAUCACAAUUAUGUACUUGCUCUGCACGCUGCAGUUCCUCAUCGUUGAACCCGACGUGAGCCGUGAGAAUGCCGCCGUUUCAGGCCACGAGACGAGGACCAACAUAUCCUCGCCCGCGAUAAGGUUCAUGGCGAAUGAACUAGAGCUGCCACCCAUCCGCGUGAUGGCUGCCGAUCACGCAUGCGCUGUGUGCACCAACGGUGUGGUGUAUGCUCAAACCGGCGAAGAGGGCGGUCCCGCUGCUGCGGCGAGCAGGCCUGACAACGUGACCGCUAUGGUGUGCCGCAAGGUUUUAAAGGAGGAGGUCGAUGUGCUGACAUCCGUCGAGGAGUGCGUGGCGCGGCUGCACCGCCUCGGAAUGCUGCAUGCGGUCGCAACCCGCGAGGAGGACGUGAACGCGUCGUGCGUGCGUGUGACGGUGCCCGCGAUUGUGGGCCGCAUGAGCGGUGGCAGUGACUCAUGCCCCGCGUUCCUGGCUGAGAUACGUCCGGGGAUCGAUAAGCAUGCGAAGUUGCAGGUGUGGUUUCCGCGCAUGCCGUCGUGGCCGCUACCGGGGAGCCGCGCGCUGCCGUACGUCGGGACUGCGGCUGUGCGUGACACGGACGUUGACCGCGACGUUGCGCCGCCCGCGUCGUUAGAGAUAACGAGCGACGGCAGCACGAUCGUGCUACGGUUUGGCCGUGAUACGACGUCGACUGUGCCGGAGGCUUUUGAGCUGCGGUGCCCGACGCACUUCUUCUCCGUCUUGGUUGGGCGCUGGGGCCGCCAGCACAACCAGCUGCAGGAGCUCCUGCACGGCCUCGCCUUUGCUCGCGCGUCGAACCGCACGUAUGUGCUGCCAUCCUUUACGCCGGAUACGAGUUUGCCGUAUGUGCGCUACGAUGCGUCGAGUCUAUACGGGUUCAACGCGAUCCGGCGCGAGGGGCGGUACUGCCUCGUCACGAACGCCGAGGUGAAGCUGAUCUUCGCGCAGCUGCAGGCGAUGGGCGUUGUGAUGGACAUGCGCCGCGUGGACUACAUCGGCGUCUUGAAACCGCCUCUUUCCCCCCCGCAGAUGGCGCAGGAGAGAGUCCGCCGGUGGUGGGUGCUUCCACCGGUGCGCGACGGCGUGCGCGAGUACAACCUCGAGAGCUGGCUUGCCGACUCGAGGUCGUCCUCGCCUCCGCUGCACUCCGUGGCGGACCACCGCGCUGACUCGGUGCUGUUCCGCGAGUCUGUGGAGCCGCUGAUGGGGGAUGAUUUGUUUCGCACCCCUACCGAGGCUGAGCAGUACAGCCGCUGGGACCGCAUCAAGAUGUUCGCUUCGCGCAUGCUUGAGGUGCUUGGCGGCGACCACGUGGGCGACGACGCGGCAGGUGAGGCCGCGCAGGUGCGGAUGGCCGUGUUGUCCGGCGUGGUGGCGUAUUUCCUUCACCCGCAACUGGAGGAGGUGACGCGGCUGUUCGGGCUGCUGCGCCCGUCCGCGCAUGUGUCUGCGGAGGUGGAUCGUGUGUACUCGAAGAGUGCUGCAGCGCUUGGGUGGCCGACGGCUGGUUCGACCAAGGACGCUGACGGGCGGCUUGUGAUGCGCGACACACUACGGCCUGCAAACUUCAAGGGCGUGAUCGGGAUUCAUGCGCGCCGUCGUGAGCGUACGUGCCGUGCCGAGGCCAUGCGUCUCUGGGGCACAAACUUCGCGCUGACGGUCGACAGGUACACCGUCGACAGCACGAACCCGAACUGGGCUGGCGUGAACUCGACGGUGUCAAGCAUCGAGAGCGACUGCUCGUGGACUGCGGGGUCUGCGGUGGAGCUGUACCUGCAGUACGCGCACUGGCUUAGGGCAAACAUGUCGGCCACGUUUGGCCACGAUCACGUGCCGACGAGCUAUGUUGCGUACGACGACCAGAGUGGGCCGAUGGCAGACAACAUGGAGAGGGUGAUGCAGCGACUUCCCGCGGCGGUGAUCGUGAAGGGCAUCGGCAACGUAACCGCGCAGUACCCGCGACGUUUUGUGGCGUCGUACGACAGCCGCAUCAAAACCAGUUUUAAAGCUGUUUACAGUGCUGCGCGGGCGAAGGCGGAAAAAAAGCUGCAGGUGCCCGCAAAAUCGUCGAAUUACUCUACGCUGCUGCAGAAGGCGUUGGUGAACACUUUAUACGAGCCUGGUUUGAGGGAGAUGCAGGCCAUGUCGUUCGACUACAUCGUGCUCACGAACACGGGGGUGUUCCGCGGCAACGUCAUCUCGUCUGUGGCGACGAACGUGAUGCUGCGCCGUUGGGGCCGUGGACUCCCCUCUCAUGGUUUACUGGCUGGGUACCUCGAGUCGUUUUACAAGGGCUUCUUCUGAGCGGAGGCUGCCGUUGUUGUUUUGCUCGCUACUCACUAGCUGGAACGUGAAGGGCGCGGCCGUUACGCGAGGGGCUGGGAUUGAGCGCGGGUAGGGAGGGGGGGGGAGACACCUCACGGAGAGUUUUGUGCUGGUCUGCACGGGAUGAGUGUGGAAGAGGGAGGAGGGGUGCCUUCCACAUGGUGGCUCCUUCGCGUGGCUGUGUAGUGGCGUGGCGUGUAGAGGCGAAGUGUGUGGCACGCACGCGGAGGGCAUAAUGGUGCGUCGGCUGCAUUUCUUGUUUUCUGGACGGGCGGGCGGCGUAUGUUGACCUCCUCGGCGGUGUGGUAGCGGUACGUAAAGCGUGAACGUCCCGCUCGGUUUGGCUUCUCGACGCUGCUCACGCUGAUUGCCACUAAUACAGCAGAGGGUAGGGGUGGAGAGAGGAAGGGGGGGAGUUGUGCGCCGGCGAGGCGCGCUGGUGGUCGUCAGGCGUUGCCACAGGCACGCGGCGAGCUGAACAGUCCCCUUCUCCUUCCCCACGUUUUGUAACUUCCAGCUGUGUUGGGUUUCUACCCCGUGUCUAUGCACUGCUGCUAUGUCUUUCUCUUCAUAAUGCACCUGAAUGGCGUGUAUCUGCCUCCUUUGCUGUGCCGCCCGCGCCAGGUAGACGCCGAAAAAGGCGCCUCUCACAUCCGGAGGCGGGUGGGCGCGCGCGAGGUUGUGCUCUGCUGUUGUUUCCGUUAUUCUUUACACGUUGUCCGCCUCGAUGCGCACGCGCUCGCUGGGCACUCCCCCGUGCCGGCAGCACACGGCGUCGUUCAUAGUUUGCGGUAGGCCAGCGGCCGACACGGUGCGAAUAGCUCGCGUGUGUCUCCCCCUCUCUUUUCGCUUUCCUUUGAGGCGGUUGGCGCCUCUUUCGGUGUGGUGUGCGUCGGACUCUGCCGUGCCCUCUCCUUCCCCUCCCCUCUGCGCGACGCCGUCGAUGUGCGGUGCUGCAGCAGCCUCUUUCCGCCUUCACCGUUAACAAGUAAAAAGCUUUUUCUCCUUCUCUUUCUCCUUAUUUUUUUCCUUCUUAAUUCCACGAUGCCCCCCGCGCGGGGGCGAGGCGUGGGCGACGGUUGAGCUGGCAGUGCGUUGCCGGAUCACCUCCGUCGGCGGGCUCGCUGCUACGCCGACGACCUUGCCAACGUUUUGAAAGUAAGGGUGGUGUUGGUGGUGGCGAUGCAGCUAACUAGCGCGUUACACAUGGGCAACGUGCGCACGCACCUAAGCGUUGCUGUCCUUCCUUCCUCCUUUUCGCUUGCCGCGCCCUUGUUCCUCGGUCGGCAGAGAGAACGAAACCAAGCAAGCGUGCACACCCUGGCCACGUGACCGUGGCGCACAAGAGAGGAGAAGGAGGAGGUCCGUCGGUGCGUGUGCACACGGCCAGUUUUCG
rnacentral:misc_RNA from 1 species